UAGGACACUCCUCACCUGGAUAUAGGUGAAGGUCCUUGAAGGAAAGGAGAAGGACUAGUAGAGCAGGCCAGAUGACCUUUACAAGGUGGUUGGGAUUUUGUUUGCCUUUAUUAAAAGUCCUGGCGUUUGUGAUUGGAACAGUAUCCUUUAGGUGAAGAAGAAAGGAAUUUGGGUGCAGUACAGACUUGGUUUUCUUCCUGUGUUCCAUCUGCCAGGAGUUCGGAAGCACUUUCUCAACUUUCAUCACUGAGAGGAUGAGUUCAGGACUCAGAACUAACUGAUCAUUUCUAGCUGGGGCCCUGUGGGGUGUUGUGUGCUAUAGUACCCUAAUCAGCUUUGCACAUAGAGACAUACAAGUUUUCAAUUUUAAUAUAACCAUGUAAAAGGUAAUUGUCCUCCUUUAAGAAUUAUGGAGGGCAAACUGGCCAUGUGAUCUGGGACAAGUCAGCCAACCUCUAAGCCGCAGAUACCCCUUCUGCCCAGAGGCAGAGAACUUCCAAGUUGCCUUCUGAGGCAGAUGCUCGGCAACCUGUAAUCUUGGAGGUGACUAUGAAAAGCUAUCCCUGUUCCAAUGACUAUUUUUGACUCAGCGAUUAGAGGAGCUUAUCAGGCUGCACCCGAAACUCUGACAUUUUGAUGGCUGGACAAUUUCCUAGGCUUCCCACUGGGCACUCCGAUUUAAGAUCCCUAGCCAAACACAUCAUCCCUCCCCUCUUCCCUCUUCUCAGCCUGAUUCCUCUGGCUGCUCUGUUUCUCUUCCUGGCACCGAGCUGGGCAGCUCAAUAGCAUUUUUGAAGUCUGCUGUAAUUCAUCCUCCAUGUUCAUUUGGCUCCUGAGACAUGAACCUUCUCGUUGUGAAGUGCCCGUUUUAUUUAUAGUCCCAUAACUUCUACCCAGUUCAGGGCCUCGUCACCUCCACAUGGGCCCUUGCUCCUACCCUGAACACCCUCAAUGGCCUUCCUCCUUUCCCUCCCUACCUGACCCGUGAGGGUUCGCUACCAGCUGCACUGCACUAACCCUCAGCUCUGGCCAGUCACUCCCUGCUACAGACCCUUGAAUGGUAUCAGGCUUCAGCAGAGCUCAGCGCCCCUUCCACACAGCCCAGAUGUUCUCACCUCUCCCCACAUCUUCACAUUUCAUCUGGAAUGUGCAGCUUCCAUACCUGCCUGUAAAAUCUAUCUCUUCAUCAAGGCCCAUUGCAAAUGUUACCUUUUCCUUGAAAUUUUCCAGGAGUCUCCAUUAUGGAUCAAUUUUUCAUUUAUUCAUUGAACAAAUAUUUAUUGUGCACCAGCUGUGUGCCAGGUGCUAUUCCAAGCACUGAGCAUUCAAUGGUGAGGUGAGUAAGACGGAUGAGUUUCUGCUUGCAGGGAGCAUACUCUUGAUGGAUAGCAGAAUAGGAACAAAUACAGAAGAAAAUUAUAGAUUCCAAUAAGUAUAACAGAGGAGCAUAGAUCCAUCGGCCUUCACUACAGUGGCUUAUAACCUGCCUAUUUAUGAUCAAAUACUCCCUUGUAAGUCCUCUGAGGGAAGAAUCUGAGUCUCCUUUACCUUUGUAACUUCCACCAUGCCCAACCUCAUCAUCUCCGUGUAGCAGUCCCCCAGUGUGUGUUUGUGAAAGGAAGUGUGGAAAGAAGUCUUGGAUUCAGAAAACAUUUAAGCAAGUACUCCUGGACAGCAAAGGAGCACCUAUUAAUGUCUUUACCUGUUAAAUUCACAAUUAAAAUAUAAGGAAAUUCUCA